UACGGGAGGGUGCGAGCGUUGUCCGGAAUCACUGGGCGUAAAGGGCGCGUAGGCGGCAGGCCAAGCGUGCGGUGAAAGUCCGGGGCUCAACCCCGGAUCUGCCGUGCGGACUGGUUUGCUAGAGCACUGUAGAGGCGAGUGGAAUUCCGGGUGUAGCGGUGGAAUGGCGUAGAGAUCCGGAAGAACACCGGUGGCGAAGGCGGCUGCGGCUGGGCAGUGGCUGACGCUGAGGCGCGACAGCGUGGGGAGCAAACAGG
rnacentral:rRNA from 1 species